GACUGCAAGAAAUUAACCAGUAGUAAAAAUAGUCUGUUUUUUGUGUGUUUGGGAUUUGUUUAUGUGUUUUUUUGCAUGGGUUACUUACAGCAGUUCUCUCCACUUUUAAUGUGCUCCAAAGGGAGAGGUCUUAAGAAAGAAUAGCAGUCUGCACUUAUCAAACUCAGCCACAAUCUCAGUCUGAGUUGGUAAAACCGAAAUGGCUCCUAAGGAAAGAGGAAAAUUUUAUGUCAUGAAUAGUCACAGUACUUUAAAUCUGAGGCCUCAAGUUCUAAGCAUACAGGUUGUCUUCCUGACUACAGUAGCG
rnacentral:lncRNA from 1 species